rnacentral:rRNA from 1 species
UGACUCUGGGAUAAGCGCUGGAAACGGCGUCUAAUACUGGAUAUGAACAAGAAUCGCAUGGUUACUUGUUGGAAAGAUUUUUCGGUUGGGGAUGGGCUCGCGGCCUAUCAGCUUGUUGGUGAGGUAAUGGCUCACCAAGGCGUCGACGGGUAGCCGGCCUGAGAGGGUGACCGGCCACACUGGGACUGAGACACGGCCCAGACUCCUACGGGAGGCAGCAGUGGGGAAUAUUGCACAAUGGGCGGAAGCCUGAUGCAGCAACGCCGCGUGAGGGAUGACGGCCUUCGGGUUGUAAACCUCUUUUAGCAGGGAAGAAGCGAGAGUGACGGUACCUGCAGAAAAAGCGCCGGCUAACUACGUGCCAGCAGCCGCGGUAAUACGUAGGGCGCAAGCGUUAUCCGGAAUUAUUGGGCGUAAAGAGCUCGUAGGCGGUUUGUCGCGUCUGCUGUGAAAUCCCGAGGCUCAACCUCGGGCCUGCAGUGGGUACGGGCAGACUAGAGUGCGGUAGGGGAGAUUGGAAUUCCUGGUGUAGCGGUGGAAUGCGCAGAUAUCAGGAGGAACACCGAUGGCGAAGGCAGAUCUCUGGGCCGUAACUGACGCUGAGGAGCGAAAGGGUGGGGAGCAAACAGGCUUAGAUACCCUGGUAGUCCACCCCGUAAACGUUGGGAACUAGUUGUGGGGUCCAUUCCACGGAUUCCGUGACGCAGCUAACGCAUUAAGUUCCCCGCCUGGGGAGUACGGCCGCAAGGCUAAAACUCAAAGGAAUUGACGGGGACCCGCACAAGCGGCGGAGCAUGCGGAUUAAUUCGAUGCAACGCGAAGAACCUUACCAAGGCUUGACAUACACGAG